AUUGAACGCUGGCGGCAUGCCUUACACAUGCAAGUCGAACGGCAGCACGGGAGCAAUCCUGGUGGCGAGUGGCGAACGGGUGAGUAAUGUAUCGGAACGUACCUUUCAGUGGGGGAUAACGUAGCGAAAGUUACGCUAAUACCGCAUAUUCUGUGAGCAGGAAAGCAGGGGAUCGCAAGACCUUGCGCUGAUUGAGCGGCCGAUAUCAGAUUAGCUAGUUGGUGAGGUAAAGGCUCACCAAGGCGACGAUCUGUAGCGGGUCUGAGAGGAUGAUCCGCCACACUGGAACUGAGACACGGUCCAGACUCCUACGGGAGGCAGCAGUAGGGAAUAUUGGACAAUGGGCGGAAGCCUGAUCCAGCCAUCCCGCGUGUAGGAAUAAGGCCCUAUGGUUGUAAACUACUUUAUUAGGAAG
rnacentral:rRNA from 1 species